AUUGAACGCUGGCGGCAUGAUUUACACAUGCAAGUCGAACGGUAACAGGCCGCAAGGUGCUGACGAGUGGCGUACGGGUGAGUAAUGCAUCGGAACGUUCCCAGUCGUGGGGGAUAACUACUCGAAAGAGUAGCUAAUACCGCAUACGAUCUAUGGAUGAAAGCGGGGGACCGUACGGCCUCGCGCGACUGGAGCGGCCGAUGUCAGCUUAGGUAGUUGGUGGGGUAUAGGCUCACCAAGCCAACGAUCUGUAGCUGGUCUGAGAGGACGACCAGCCACACUGGGAGUGAGACACGGCCGAGACUCCUACGGGAGGAAGCAGUGGGGAAUUUUGGACAAGGGGGGAAAGCCUGAUCCAGCAAUGCCGCGUGCAGGAAGAAGGCCUUCGGGUUGUAGACUGCUUUUGUACGGAGCGAAACGGCUCUGGUUAAUACCCGAGGAUAAUGACGGUACCGUAAGAAUAAGCACCGGCUAACUACGUG
rnacentral:rRNA from 1 species